ACGGGUGAGUAAUGUCUGGGGAUCUGCCCGAUAGAGGGGGAUAACCACUGGAAACGGUGGCUAAUACCGCAUAACGUCGCAAGACCAAAGAGGGGGACCUUCGGGCCUCUCACUAUCGGAUGAACCCAGAUGGGAUUAGCUAGUAGGCGGGGUAAUGGCCCACCUAGGCGACGAUCCCUAGCUGGUCUGAGAGGAUGACCAGCCACACUGGAACUGAGACACGGUCCAGACUCCUACGGGAGGCAGCAGUGGGGAAUAUUGCACAAUGGGCGCAAGCCUGAUGCAGCCAUGCCGCGUGUAUGAAGAAGGCCUUCGGGUUGUAAAGUACUUUCAGCGGGGAGGAAGGCGAUGUGGUUAAUAACCGCGUCGAUUGACGUUACCCGCAGAAGAAGCACCGGCUAACUCCGUGCCAGCAGCCGCGGUAAUACGGAGGGUGCAAGCGUUAAUCGGAAUUACUGGGCGUAAAGCGCACGCAGGCGGUCUGUUAAGUCAGAUGUGAAAUCCCCGGGCUUAACCUGGGAACUGCAUUUGAAACUGGCAGGCUUGAGUCUCGUAGAGGGGGGUAGAAUUCCAGGUGUA
rnacentral:rRNA from 1 species